GUCUUCGUAGCUUAAACAAAAGCAUGACACUGAAGCUGUCAAGAUGACUGCCAUCCGCAUCCGAAGACA
rnacentral:tRNA from 1 species